rnacentral:rRNA from 1 species
UACAGAGGGUGCAAGCGUUAAUCGGAGUUACUGGGCGUAAAGGGCGCGUAGGCGGUUAUUUAAGUUUGAUGUGAAAUCCCUGGGCUUAACCUAGGAACUGCAUUGAAUACUGGGUAACUGGAGUACUGUAGAGGGUAGUGGAAUUUCCGGUGUAGCGGUGAAAUGCGUAGAUAUCGGGAGGAACACCAGCGGCGCAGGCGGCGCUCUGGACGCACACUGACGCUGAGACACGAAAGCGUGGGGAGCAAACAGG